rnacentral:rRNA from 1 species
CGGGAAUAUUGCGCAAUGGAGGCAACUCUGACGCAGUGACGCCGCGUAUAGGAAGAAGGUUUUCGGAUUGUAAACUAUUGUCCUCAGGGAAGAAAAAAGACUGUACCUGAGAAGAAAGCUCCGGCUAACUAC